rnacentral:rRNA from 1 species
UACGUAGGCGGGAAAUUAAGUCAGUAGUGAAAUCCCACAGCUUAACUGUGGAACUGUUAUUGAUACUGGUUUCCUUGAAUAUAGUUGAGGUAGGCGGAAUGUGUAAUGUAGCGGUGAAAUGCUUAGAUAUUACACAGAACACCGAUUGCGAAGGCAGCUUACUAAGCUAUGAUUGACGCUGAGGUACGAAAGCGUGGGGAGCGAACAGGAUUAGAUACCCUGGUAGUCC